rnacentral:RNase_P_RNA from 1 species
UUUUGGGGCCAGAUCGUCGCUCCAGGUUCUUUGAUCCCACGUGGACGGGUAACGCCGUCCGCAGACUUACAUAGCUUGGAGAGGAAAGUCCGGACACCGCAGGGCAGGAUGCCGCACGAGCUUCACGGCAAGUGCGGGCGUCGCGUUUCAAGGCGCGGCGACGGACAGUGUCACAGAGAACAAACCGCCUGGCGGGCAACCGUCGGGUAAGGGUGAAAAGGUGGGGUAAGAGCCCACCGCGCCGGCAGUAAUGACGGCGGCACGACAAACCCCUUCCGGUGCAAGGCAAAAUAGGUGGCUGGGCGGCUCGUCCGAUAGCCACGGGUAUGCCGCAUCCGCCUCCGCUCCCGCGCAAGCGGGGGAGAAGGCGGGCGGAUCCAUCGCGAGAUGGGUUUCGAGAGAAAUGACGAUCGGCCCCGGCUUCGGCCGGGGUCACAGAAUCCGGCUUAUCGGUCCCAAAACCAA